CCGAAGACCACGCAGGCUGAGAAGCAUGAAGCUGGGGCUCAUUCAUUCCUGUGGCUGCCAUUUCAUUGGGGCUUUUUUCUUCCAGGCAGGCAGGGAUGUGCAGGGAUCCACCACCAGACCCAUCGCCUCACUUCCGCUUUUUCCACAUAGGGCAUUUUGCUACGGAAAAUGAGGCCAGGCUAACAUUCAGAGCAGCUGGGAAGUUGAGGCCGAGGGAGAAGCAGAGAGAGGUCAGCAUUGCUCGGAGUGUCAGAAUGAGGCAUCGCCGGAUGGAGACUUGGAUCAGGACAUCAUGUGCAAGAAAAAAAAAAGGCUUAACUACUUACUGCAAGCUAUUACUAUGGUGAGGUGCCAUGGGGCAGCAAAGAAGUACUGGGUGGACUCCGGCCCUCAGCAACAACAAUGGAAGCCUAGCAGCUGCUGCUGACAGAGUGCUCUCCAGGCUGGUAAAUGGCACCUCCUUGAGUGACCCGAGACCUCCUGCUCUGACUACUGGACCUCCUUGACAGCCUGCCAUGGAAUGAUUAAUGCCAGGCACUAUUCAUGAAAAGUUAUCUUUUGACUGGGGACUUGGGGGGUACUUUUGCUAGAAUUUUACUCAAGAUUGAAAAAAAGGAUGGGGGGGGAGGGGCAGGUAGGGCGUUGCUGCUGGAGUAUGGAAAAGCCAACAGAGUGACCAGUACACACCAGCCUUGGCUAUUACUUGGUCGCGCUUCCUGCUGAGUCACCAGGGCUGCAGUCCACCGGGCCACGUGACUGACCUGUUGUGUGGGAGUCUGUCUCCUUCUUCCUGAGCCCAUGGAGAAAGGGUCUGUAUGGAGACUCGGGCAUUGCCGUCACUUGAGGUACAGAUCUGACUGUUCUUUGGAGUUCCUGGUUUUUCUGUGGCUCCUCGCAUCUGAAUGACCUGUUCCUGUCAUUAGCUCGGCAACGCUGUAGAAGACACCAGAGUAUAAUCCCUCCGAGCUGCUGCUUGGCAGCUUUUGCUCAGGCAUACCUCCAGGGACCUCGCCACUCCUCCCGGCACAGCAAGCACCCUUGGGCAUGAGUUCAAACUAGGAGAGGAUGCUUUGGGUCUGCUCUAGCCUCCACUGUGCAUAACUUUCCCUAUUCUAAGCAGCAGCCUUCAUCAUCCCUAUGGUUAAGCUUGGUUUGCUCCCUCCCCCAACCCCGCCUCUCCACCUCCCCCAACCCCACCCCCAUUACCUCCUCCAACCUACAUUUUACAAAAAGAGAACCAUAAGCAGGGAGGGAAGGGUCCCCAAGGCAGGCAGAGCAGUGUCUGAUGAGAGUGGAGUCCACAGCCACUCUGCACUUGUGUGACUCUGGAGACCACAAACAUGAGUGAUGCUCCAGGAUGAAUGGUGCUCACGAACCCUUUGUGUGUGGGCCCUGUGUACCAUCUAGUACUCUGCCCUUGAGGUCAUGUAACAAGUAGAUGCAUGUAGGAUCAUGCGUGCAUGCGUGCGUGUAGAAACAGAUGCCUGAGCCGGGCGGUGGUGGCGCACGCCUUUAAUCCCAGCACUCGGGAGGCAGAGGCAGGCGGAUCUCUGUGAGUUCGAGGCCAGCCUGGUCUACAAAGCGAGUUCCAGGAAAGACGCAAAGCUACACAGAGAAACCCUGUCUCGAAAAACCAAACCAAACCAAACCAGGCAAAACAAAAAAACCAAACAGAUUCCUGACGAGGGAAGGCAAGGCACACAGGAGGACACCCUGGAGGAUGGAAGGCAAAGAGGAAAUAGGCUUUCCUCCACCCUCCUGGCUGUGGGGGGAUGCGACCAGGAGAAACAGAAAGGAAGAGGUGAGGCGUGAGGGCUGGAGAGAAGAGGAAGAAAGGCCCGUGGGGGAGACGGAGGGGAGGGGCUGGCUGGCGAGCUGGCAGAUGGCUCCGAGGUGCACACCUCCCUCUGGACGGCUGUCAGAUCCACGGUGACAGCUGCAGGCUAAGCCAUAGAUGACAACAGCAAUUGGCUCGUGUCUGCAGCCUCCUUUGUUCAUUUUUAUCAUUAUUAGUUAUUCUAACGGAGGGUCUCACGGAUCCCAGCCUGGCCUCACACUCACUGUGUUGCCGAGACUGAGCUGUCGAUCCUUCUGCCUUGGCCUCUGGAGUGCUGGGGUUACUGGGGUGGUCCACCACACCUAGUUUACAUGGUGCUGGGGAUCGAACCCAAGGCUUUGUCUUCUUGCGUGCUAGGCAAGCACUCUACCAGCCGGGCUACAUUCCCAGUCCCACAGGCUUCUUACUGACCAAUGUUUCCCAAAGGCUUGAGACACCAGUGGCCUCUCAACAAGGCUACUCAGAUACUGGAAUUUGGAAGGGGCCUGGGAAGCCAAGCUGGAGACCAAACACGCAUGCCCCUGGCAGCAGGACUCGGGUAUGACUGCAAGGCUGGUUCUCUGUCCAGUGACUGGACUGUCAUAGGCUAAGGCUCAGGGAAGGAGCAGAAUCAACCACAAGGCCCCAGGGGUGCCCAGUCAACACUGUGCCGUGUCCUUUAAACACUCCAGAGAAAACAGAGACAAAGGCCUUCCUUCCUCCUCCCUCACAUUAGAAAUUCCCCUGAGGUUCUCUCAGGAGCCAUGUGUCUGUCUUUACCAUCCUAGGCACUGGCCGGGAGUUCUUAAAUGACUCCAUAAACAGGAAAAAGGGAAGCAAGUUCAAAAAGAUGUGUGACCUGCUGGGGGCUGGGGAAGGGCGGUGGGGAUGGGGGGCGGUGCUGAUUUAUGACACUCUGUGAACAAAGCAGAGGAAACAGAUUUUUCUGUGUUGCAUUUGAUGGACGUGGGAGCUUGGGCCAAAAGCCUGGCAGUGGAACCCAGAGGGAGACAGGGUGAGUGGGAAGGGAAGGGAGGAGGAGGAACUCGGAAAAUCGGAGUCAUCCUGACUUGUCUUCACUUCCCCUGCCUCUCCCUUCCGCUGGGAGCUCAGAGUCAGUGAGUCCUUUCCCCCUUGCAUUUACAUUCUCUCCAUUUCCUGAAGCCCCACCACCCCGAUUCCAAAUCCUUCCUGCCUCUCCCCCGGACCGUGACUCAGGGGUAAGGUUAGGGUGGUCUCUGUAGCUUCAGUCUCUCCUUCUCCAGCUCAUCUUUCUCAGCACUUGUAGUUUGGCCUCCAAGAAUGUUCUCCACCUCAUUCUCACACUGUGCCACUUUUUCACGACUCCCUGCUCGGCUCCACUUCUUACAUUUGCUGUAAUAAAAAGAGAUGAGCGUUUAAUAGCCAAGACCUCAGUGCCUCAGAGGAGCUGGUACUGGGGAGUAGAUGAGUAUUCUAGGAGGUCGUUCUACACUUUGUAAACCUUGUCUAGAAUAGCACACAGGUUAGUUAGCAUCACCCCUGUUCCUCAGGAGCAUUUAUCCCGCCCCACCCACCACUUCCCCUGCCACAACCCCCCAAUUUCUCCAGACAUUGUCAAAUGUCUCCUGGGGGCCCAGACUGCCUCUGGUUAAGGUCCACUCACCUAGAGACAAAUUGCUACUCUGUCAUUUGCUGAGUUCCCUUAGGUACAUGAUAUAAGUUCUCUGAACUUCAAUUUCCUUAAUAUCAACACAGGGUUAAGAAACAUCUACCUUAGGAGCCAUUGUGGGAAGUGAAUAAAAGAAUUCCUAACCUGUGAUAAAUCAUCAAACACAAUACACACACACACAUACACACACACACAAAUCUGUGUUUCCUCAGUUUUGUUUACAGUGGCUCAGGCCCCGCCAGAGUCUAUCUAGUACCUACAGGUUGAAUGAGUGGAUGAAUCUCCAGCUCACUCCUGCUUCAACCGGAAAGCCCCAUUCCUCUCUCUCCAAACCCUGCCCUCUCUGAGAAUCUCCAGCAUGGGAAAGUCACCAAAAAGCCCAGUUCCAAAUUCUUGGCAGCUGUGGCAGCUCCUUCAAGUUGCCAGCAGCCCAAGACCCCGCCUAAAGCCCUCAGUUUUUGAGCAGACUUGGGCACAAACCCAGCUUGUGGAGGACACGUCAUCACCCCUCACCUUCAGGAUAUAUAAGCUCCCUGCUUUAGUUUGGGCGCAUGACUUCUCCUGCCUUCAUCUCUGGGGCUGGAGAACUUACCUGGGCGUUGCUUUGCUCAAAUAAACCUGUUCUUUUACUUUUUCA